UUUCUGCACCGCUCACAUCUCAAGGAGCUGUACGCCUGUACCGAGCUAAACUGUAGGAGUACUGUACUCUGCAUGAGAACGUCGUACUCCGACAUGAUACUGUUGCUUGGAAAAGGGCUAGCUUUGCUUGCUGAAACGAAGGUUGCAGGAAAGGAUCUUUCGUCAUUGAAUGCCACGCGGUGUACAAAUUUCUUGGCACUAAACUAUAAGCACGUACUAGUACCACGUAUAAUGCGACACCGUGUAACUUUGUAACAGUAGUACAGUACAGUACUGUCGCUCCCGCUUGCACGAUGUGCAAACUGAAACUCAAGCCUGACGAGAGUGAAGUUGAAACAGGGCAGAAAGCUCGAAGAUUAUCGGUGAAGACGACCUGAAGCUGGAGGGCCAUCGGUUGGCUUGCCGGCAGGCCGGGGUCAGCACGGCUAGUUCCGGCCACUCUAGCUGCCGACCUGCCGCCUUGCCGGAAGACGCAACUCGACUCCUCCUGACGAGAUGAGGGACCCCGCUUUGAUUGGAGGUGGAGGUACUCAUCCGGUACCCACUGCCACUAUAUAGCCAGUAGCCACCGUGCUGUGAGAUCUGAGAUGUAUUUGAAGAAUCAGGACAUAUCGUACAAAAUUGGUUGUAUCAUUUUAUAGAAGAGACGCCACGGUAAGCAGAAACUCCCACCACUCACUCUGUGAUCUUACUACUCUCAAUUUUCACUGAAAAGGUGUAUGGAUGGGCUCCUUUUUCCGCUUGACACAAGAGCGUUUUCUUCCCUACCACUGAUCUGCAAGGGCUGUAGCCUGUAGCCAAUUGGCUAGAACUCCUUUUACCGAUUACACUUGAUGUUGCAGCCUUAAGCAUUAAGCACUGUCUCUUAAAAAAGAAACAACUUCCGCACUGAUUCAGGGGAUUUCGCGAUUCGAGAGGUGGACAAUUUCACCCAUGUUCUCAUCAGCCUGGCUAAUUUCGUCCUGAUGCAAGCAUACCUCAGAGCUAAUUCUGGAGUUUGAUCUUUACACAGCAAAAUGGGUUGAUUCAGGCAUACCAUUUACAAGUUGCUCAUAUCUGAUACUCC